rnacentral:rRNA from 1 species
AUUGAACGCUGGCGGCAGGCCUAACACAUGCAAGUCGAACGGUAACAGGAAGCAGCUUGCUGCUUCGCUGACGAGUGGCGGACGGGUGAGUAAUGCCUGGGAAACUGCCUGAUGGAGGGGGAUAACUACUGGAAACGGUAGCUAAUACCGCAUAACGUCGCAAGACCAAAGAGGGGGACCUUAGGGCCUCUUGCCAUCGGAUGUGCCCAGAUGGGAUUAGCUAGUAGGUGGGGUAACGGCUCACCUAGGCGACGAUCCCUAGCUGGUCUGAGAGGAUGACCAGCCACACUGGAACUGAGACACGGUCCAGACUCCUACGGGAGGCAGCAGUGGGGAAUAUUGCACAAUGGGCGCAAGCCUGAUGCAGCCAUGCCGCGUGUAUGAAGAAGGCCUUCGGGUUGUAAAGUACUUUCAGCGGGGAGGAAGGGAGUAAAGUUAAUACCUUUGCUCAUUGACGUUACCCGCAGAAGAAGCACCGGCUAACUCCGUGCCAGCAGCCGCGGUAAUACGGAGGGUGCAAGCGUUAAUCGGAAUUACUGGGCGUAAAGCGCACGCAGGCGGUUUGUUAAGUCAGAUGUGAAAUCCCCGGGCUCAACCUGGGAACUGCAUCUGAUACUGGCAAGCUUGAGUCUCGUAGAGGGGGGUAGAAUUCCAGGUGUAGCGGUGAAAUGCGUAGAGAUCUGGAGGAAUACCGGUGGCGAAGGCGGCCCCCUGGACGAAGACUGACGCUCAGGUGCGAAAGCGUGGGGAGCAAACAGG